rnacentral:rRNA from 1 species
GACGAACCGUGCGAACGUUGUUCGGAAUCACUGGGCGUAAAGCGCGCGUAGGUGGCUUCGUAAGUCCGUUGUGAAAGUCAAAGGCUCAACCUUUGAAUGCCGAUGGAUACUGCGAAGCUAGAGUACGGAAGAGGCGAGUGGAAUUCCUGGUGUAGCGGUGGAAUGCGCAGAUAUCAGGAGGAACACCAAUAGCGAAGGCAGCUCGCUGGGACGUUACUGACACUAAGGCGCGAAAGCGUGGGGAGCGAACAGG